AUGGCGGUGGGGUUCCGUCGGGCGCUGGACGCGCUCACGUCGCCCAAGUCGGCCCUGCUGGAGUGCGCGCGGCCCAAGAAGCUGUCCUCCUACGCGCGCGUCCGCUCCAUCAGCCUCCCCGUCCGCCUCCACCCGCUGGUGGCCGCGCUGCACGACUCGGCGCGCGCGCUGCUGCGGUGGGCGGACGAGCCCGCGCAGACGGGGCCCGCCUGGGUCGCCGACGGCGCCGACCGGGCCGGGCAGGUGCUGGCGGGCCUCUCCGCCAUGCUCCACCACCCGCAGGCGCGGGACGCGCUCCGCCGGCCCUGGACGGAGCAGCUGCUCGACGACCUGCUCCUCCUCGCCGACUUCCACGGCUGCUUCCGGGACUCGCUCGUCGCGCUCCGCCAGCUGCUCAACGAGACGCACUCCGCCCUGCGCCGCCGCGACGGCGUGCGCCUCGCCGCGGCGCUCCGCGCGCAGCGCCGCGCCGCCAGGGAGGUCUCCCGCCUCGCAUCCUCCGCCAGGGACCUCUGCCACCGCGCCGCCCCCGACGACGACCUGGACGAGAUCACGCUCGCCGACGCCUUCGCCGCCGCCACGGCCGCCGUGGCCGCCGCCUCCGCGGCCAUCUUCUCCGGCCUGUCGUCCGCCUCGGCCGAGUCCGCCGCCAGCGCCGCCCCGUCCCCGAGGACGCCGACGCCCUACUCCCCCGCCCGCGCCCCCGCCAGCCCGAUGUGGCUGGUGACUGACCUCCUCCGCCGGCGGAGGACCGUGUCGUUCUCGUUCGAGGAGUACUGCAACGAGGAGGAGGAGGAGAGGAAGGCGGCCAUGGGCCGGGUGCGCGGCCUCGAGGAGUGCGUGGCCGCCGCCGAGGGCAGCGGCGAGCAGGUGUACCGUGCGCUCGUGAACGCCAGGGUGUCGCUGCUCAACCUGCUCACGCCCACAUUCUGA
rnacentral:rRNA from 1 species